rnacentral:rRNA from 1 species
UACGUAGGGUGCGAGCGUUAAUCGGAUUUACUGGGCGUAAAGCGUGCGCAGGCGGCCCGUUAAGACAGGUGUGAAAUCCCUGGGCUCAACCUAGGAAUUGCGCUUGUGACUGGCAAGCUAGAGUAUGGUAGAGGGUGGUGGAAUUUCCUGUGUAGCGGUGAAAUGCGUAGAGAUCAGGAGGAACACCGAUGGCGAAGGCAGCCCCCUGGGCCUGUACUGACGCUCAUGCACGAAAGCGUGGGGAGCAAACAGG